CGGGGCGUAGCUCAGCCUGGUAGAGCACCUGCUUUGGGAGCAGGGGGUCGGGAGUUCGAGUCCCCCCGCCCCGACCA
rnacentral:tRNA from 1 species